AGGUGCCUUUCGGACACGCCGGCUCCUGCGCGCCAUCAGCGCCCACCCAGCCACUGCUCGCUAGGCGUUGCGAACC
rnacentral:sRNA from 1 species